rnacentral:rRNA from 1 species
ACUCGAGUGGCGAACGGGUGAGUAACACGUGGGUGAUCUGCCCUGCACUUCGGGAUAAGCUUGGGAAACUGGGUCUAACACCGGAUAGGAGCCAUCUUUAGUGUGGUGGUUGGAAAGUUUUUCGGUGUAGGAUGAGCUCGCGGCCUAUCAGCUUGUUGGUGGGGUAAUGGCCUACCAAGGCGGCGACGGGUAGCCGGCCUGAGAGGGUGUACGGCCACAUUGGGACUGAGAUACGGCCCAG